GACGGAGGAUGCAAGUGUUAUCCGGAAUCACUGGGCGUAAAGCGUCUGUAGGUGGUUUAAUAAGUCAACUGUUAAAUCUUGAGGCUCAACCUCAAAAUCGCAGUCGAAACUAUUAGGCUAGAGUAUAGUAGGGGGUAAAGGGAAUUUCCAAUGGAGCGGUGAAAUGACGUAGAGAUUGGAAAGAACACCGAUGGCGAAGGCACUUUACUGGGCUAUUACUAACACUCAGAGACGAAAAGCUAGGGUAGCAAAUGGGG
rnacentral:rRNA from 1 species